rnacentral:rRNA from 1 species
UCAAAGGAAUUGACGGGGAGCACCACAACGGGUGGAGCUCGCGGUUUAAUUGGAUUCAACGCCGGAAAUCUUACCGGGACCGACAGCAAUAUGAAGGCCAGGCUGAAGACUUUGCCGGAUUAGCUGAGAGGUGGUGCAUGGCCGUCGUCAGUUCGUACUGUGAAGCAUCCUGUUAAGUCAGGCAACGAGCGAGACCCACGCCCACAGUUGCCAGCGUACUCUCUGGAGUGACGGGUACACUGUGGGACCGCCGCUGCUAAAGCGGAGGAAGGAAUGGGCAACGGUAGGUCAGUAUGCCCCGAAUAUCCCGGGCUACACGCGAGCUACAAUGGUUGGUACAAUGGGUAUCUACCCGAAAGGGGACGGGAAUCUCCUAAAACCAAUCUUAGUUCGGAUUGAGGGCUGCAACUCGCCCUCAUGAAGCUGGAAUCCGUAGUAAUCGCGUUUCAACAGAACGCGGUGAAUACGUCCCUGCUCCUU